rnacentral:rRNA from 1 species
GACGAACGCUGGCGGCGUGCUUAACACAUGCAAGUCGAACGGAAAGGCCCUGCUUUUGUGGGGUGCUCGAGUGGCGAACGGGUGAGUAACACGUGAGUAACCUGCCCUUGACUUUGGGAUAACUUCAGGAAACUGGGGCUAAUACCGGAUAGGAGCUCCUGCUGCAUGGUGGGGGUUGGAAAGUUUCGGCGGUUGGGGAAGGACUCGCGGCUUAUCAGCUUGUUGGUGGGGUAGUGGCUUACCAAGGCUUUGACGGGUAGCCGGCCUGAGAGGAUGACCGGGUACAUUGGUAAUGAGAUACGGCCCAGACGACUACGGGAGGCAGCAGUGUGGAAUAGUGCACAAUGGGCAGAAGCCUGAGGCAGCAACGCCGCGUGCGGGAUGACGGCCUUCGGGUUGUAAACCGCUUUCGCCUGUGACGAAGCGUGAGUGACGGUAAGGUGUAAAGAAGCACCGGCUAAGUACGUG